rnacentral:rRNA from 1 species
AGAGUUUGAUCAUGGCUCAGGACGAACGCUGGCGGCGUGCUUAACACAUGCAAGUCGAACGGUAAGGCCCUUCGGGGCACACGAGUGGCGAACGGGUGAGUAACACGUGGGUGAUCUGCCCUGCACUUCGGGAUAAGCCUGGGAAACUGGGUCUAAUACCGGAUAGGACUCCUGGCUUCAUGGUUGGGGGUGUAAAGCUUUUGCGGUGUGGGAUGGGCCCGCGGCCUAUCAGCUUGUUGGUGGGGUAAUGGCCUACCAAGGCGACGACGGGUAGCCGGCCUGAGAGGGUGACCGGCCACACUGGGACUGAGAUACGGCCCAGACUCCUACGGGAGGCAGCAGUGGGGAAUAUUGCACAAUGGGCGCAAGCCUGAUGCAGCGACGCCGCGUGAGGGAUGACGGCCUUCGGGUUGUAAACCUCUUUCAAUAGGGACGAAGCGCAAGUGACGGUACCUAUAGAAGAAGGACCGGCCAACUACGUG